rnacentral:rRNA from 1 species
GAGGAAGCUUGCUUUCUCCGCCGGCGACCGGCGCACGGUUGAGUAACACGUAUGCAACCUGCCCCUGUCAGGGGGACAACCCGCCGAAAGGCGGGCUAAACCCGCGUACAUGCCACCGGGGCAUCCCGGAGGCAGGAAAGGCUUCGGCCGGACAGGGAUGGGCAUGCGGCGCAUUAGGCAGUAGGCGGGGUAACGGCCCACCUAACCGACGAUGCGUAGGGGUUCUGAGAGGAAGGUCCCCCACACUGGUACUGAGACACGGACCAGACUCCUACGGGAGGCAGCAGUGAGGAAUAUUGGUCAAUGGUCGGGAGACUGAACCAGCCAAGCCGCGUGAGGGAGGAAGGUACAGAGUAUCGUAAACCUCUUUUGUCAGGGAACAAAGGCGGGGACGUGUCCCCGGAUGAGUGUACCUGAAGAAAAAGCAUCGGCUAACUCCGUGCCAGCAGCCGCGGUAAUACGGAGGAUGCGAGCGUUAUCCGGAUUUAUUGGGUUUAAAGGGUGCGCAGGCGGUCUGUUAAGUCAGCGGUCAAAGCCCGGGGCUCAACCCCGGCCCGCCGUUGAAACUGGCAGUCUCGAGUUGGAGAGAAGUAUGCGGAAUGCGCGGUGUAGCGGUGAAAUGCAUAGAUAUCGCGCAGAACUCCGAUUGCGAAGGCAGCAUGCCGGCUCCACACUGACGCUGAGGCACGAAAGCGUGGGUAUCGAACAGGAUUAGAUACCCUGGUAGUCCAC